CCGAGUGAGGGUCCCAGAAGGGGCCCAAUCUCCCACCCCGUGUUUAACUGCAGCCAUGUUGCUUUGGCGGGCCCACUAGGAGACCACCAUGGUUCCUGGUCGCCUCGAGGAAUCCUCCCUUGGGCCAGUGCCCGCCGGAGACCAUUAAAAUGCUCUCUGAAUUUUAAGCUGGUCUGAGUGAAUUUUUAGACAAAAACUGUUUUUGA
rnacentral:misc_RNA from 1 species